AGCUCUCUACGAACAGCCCGGUGCCGCCAUCUUGAGUUGAGGGUUGGCCGGCAGCACUUUUGCACACGCCCGGAGCCGAGGUAUUGGCACUCCCGUUUGGUAUGAGGAACUCUGGUCUGAAGGACUGGAUCCGAGGCCUUUGGACGGGCACUUUCUGAGCAGGGGAAACUACAUGAAGCGGAAAAGGACAGAACCCAACUGCCAUGCUGUGAGAAGCCCAGACCACACAGAGAGGCCAAACCUCCAGGCUCCAGGCAAGAAUCCCAGCCGGGUCUGGCCUUGCGUCAUCCCAGCACAACCAGCAGAUCUGUGAGUGAAGAAGCCACUGGAUGAUUCCAGUCACCGCUUCUGAGGUACCAGCAGUCCCUUUCCAGUUAACUUGGCACUCUGGGGAUCCAAGGAUUACUGCAGUUUAUCAAAGAAGCUUCUCAACCUGUCCAGUGAGGAUAUAUAAAGGACAUGUAGUAGCUAUGGAUACACACUGCUGGCUUCACACAGGAGCUGUUGCAUGUGCUGAAAAACUAGCCAAAGGAGAGCCUACCGAUAAGUAUGUAGGAUUUUGUAGGAAAUUUGUAAACAUAUUACUGUCUCAUGGGAUCAAGCCUAUCCUGGUAUUUGGUGAAUGUACUGUACCUUCUAAAAAGGAAGUGGAGAAGUCUAGAAGAGAGUAAGUUGAUUCUCUAACUUAAUUACUUUAAGGUCUAACAUUGUGCUCUGUAUGAUAGCAAUUUCUUGUGAUUUUUGUUUGUGGCACGAACAGAGUACCCUAACAUUCCAUGUAUGCUAGAAAGGAAUGUGUGUUCUUCAGUUACUGAGUGGAAGCUUUCCUGUCUGUCCAGGAAAUCAAGCUUAUUGAUCAUAGUGCUCAAAUCUUCCAUAGCCUUGUUGGGGAUAAGGAUUUUUUGGUGGGGUUUUUUGCUUGUUUGUUUAUAUGUCUACUUAAUACAGCAGUUACUGAGAAAAGUAUGUUCAAAUUUCACUGUGAUAGUGGAAUUGUUUAUGACUUAUUUUUCCACCACCUAUACCCUGUCCCCUUGGUUUUCGAGUAUCUCAGCUGGUUGGGAUUUUUUACCUGAUGAAGUGAACCAAACCUUAAUUUUUGUGGGAGCUCAGCCUCUUGUGGCCCAGUUGCUAUCGAGUUAUGUGGUUUUCCACUUACUUCUACCAUUGGCAGUGGAGGAGGCAGUCCACUGGUUCCCUUGAGUUCCAUCCAUAAUCCUUUUUCCCCUCACUGUGCAUCAUGUUGCCACGAUGGGAACUCCUACUGUGCAUUUUUCUUAAUGAGACUAAGUGCUUAGGGCCCUUCCAGAGGGGCAUUUAUUUAAUUUUCUCAUUCACUAACAGAAAGGUUUUACAUUCACUUUUCUGUUACCACCUGCUGGGGUAAUUUCAUAAGCUCUUACCAGGAAUAAGACACCAGUAUUGCCAGGAAAUAUUAUAGGAUAUUAAAUUGUAGUUUAACAGUGCAGGUGUGUAUUACUUCUAAACUCAAUAUCAAACACGUUAAUUGAUAAGAUACAUUAAUUUUACUGGAGAUGGAGAGCAGGUGGGAAAAGGAGGUUAGAGAGUGAAAAGUGACUGAUUAACAAAAAAUUUUCUUUUUGUUGAACAAUUCUUUUACAUUAUGAACUCCUCAAAUGCAUUUAAAACACAAUUCAGUUUGCCACAACUUGACUUACAUGCAGAUUUUUUUUCUAGGAGUACAUUUCUGACAAAAACACAUUAAUCUCUGUUUUCCUAAAACUACAAUAUUUUCAACUAUGUGCUCCAAAUGACAAAUGGGGUGGAGGAGGCACCUUUGAUCAUUCCACUCAGUGACCUACUUGCAAAAUUUUCAUUGCUCAUCUUCAAAGUUCCGUGCUUUGUCAUGCCCAGGGGAGGAAUGCUUCAACUAGCAGAGGCAAUUAUGGUUCUAAUGGAUUGGAAUUUGAGGUUUCCACAUGUCAUUGGCUGAACAGACAUAAAAAGAAGGGUUUACAAUGUUGAUGGGCUGAUUGUGCUUGGCUCCUAAGGGGAAAUGAAAUUGCUGCCUGUGGAAAAUGCAGAGAUGAUCCAGCUAGAAUCCUUUGAAAGAAAGACUUGCAGCUCAGCUACGGGCAAUUCGGUCAGCAGCCAGCUUCCAGAUAUCAGGUCCUUAGCCACCUUGUACA